GAUAACUGGUUGACAUGUAGACUGAAAAAACUCAUAAAGUGUGUGUUGUCUAUCAGCUUCUUCUUUCGAAAUUCACGAGAUCGCAGUUAAACUACAACACUAUAUUG